rnacentral:rRNA from 1 species
AUCGAACGCUGGCGGCAGGCUUAACACAUGCAAGUCGAGCGAUAGGCGGACUGGUGAAUAAUGUCUGGGAACCUGCCUGAUGGACGGGGAUAACUACUGGAAACGGUAGCUAAUACCGCUUACGAUCAGUUGGGCUCAGAUGGGAUUAGCUACUAGGUGGGGUAAUGGCUCACCGAGGCGACGAUCCCUAGCUGGUCUGAGAGGCUGACCGGCCACACUGGAACUGAGACACGGUCCAGACUCCUACGGGAGGCAGCAGUGGGGAAUCUUGCACAAUGGGCGCAAGCCUGAUGGAGCCAUGCCGCGUGUGUGAAGAAGGUCUUCGGGUUGUAAAGCACUGUCAGCGAGGAGGCGUUACUCGCAGAAGAAGCACCGGCUAACUCCGUGCCAGCAGCCGCGGUAAUAC